GACGAACGCUGGCGGCGUGCUUAACACAUGCAAGUCGAACGGAAAGGCCCUGCUUUUGUGGGGUGCUCGAGUGGCGAACGGGUGAGUAACACGUGAGUAACCUGCCCUUGACUUUGGGAUAACUUCAGGAAACUGGGGCUAAUACCGGAUAGGAGCUCCUGCUGCAUGGUGGGGGUUGGAAAGUUUCGGCGGUUGGGGAUGGACUCGCGGCUUAUCAGCUGGUUGGUGGGGUAGUGGCUUACCAAGGCUUUGACGGGUAGCCGGCCUGGGAGGGUGACCGGCCACAUGGGGACUGAGAUACGGCCCAGACUGCAACGGGAGGCAGCAGUGGGGAAUAUUGCACAAUGGGCGGAAGCCUGAUGCAGCAACGCCGCGUGCGGGAUGACGGCCUUCGGGUUGUAAACCGCUUUCGCCUGUGACGAAGCGUGAGUGACGGUAAUGGGUAAAGAAGCACCGGCUAACUACGUG
rnacentral:rRNA from 1 species